UACGUAGGUGGCAAGCGUUGUCCGGAUUUAUUGGGCGUAAAGAGCUCGUAGGCGGUUUGUCGCGUCGGCCGUGAAAUCUCCACGCUUAACGUGGAGCGUGCGGUCGAUACGGGCAGACUUGAGUUCGGUAGGGGAGACUGGAAUUCCUGGUGUAGCGGUGAAAUGCGCAGAUAUCAGGAGGAACACCGGUGGCGAAGGCGGGUCUCUGGGCCGAUACUGACGCUGAGGAGCGAAAGCGUGGGGAGCAAACAGG
rnacentral:rRNA from 1 species